AUAGGCACUGGCUGGGGGUACCAUGGUCACGAACCUGGUUUUCCCAGGGGGAGGCUUAUCCACCGGCCGGAUGUGCUGAACCCUGCAAUUUCCCCAAACGUGGGAAACUCGGCGGCAUGAUUUGUGGUCGCCGAGGAUGGCACUCCGCCUCCCCGGA